rnacentral:rRNA from 1 species
GGAUUAGAUACCCUGGUAGUCCUAGCUGUAAACGAUGUGUGCUAGAUGUUGGAAAUUUAGUUUUUCAGUGUCGCAGCAAAAGCGUUAAGCACACCGCCUGGGGAGUACGACCGCAAGGUUAAAACUCAAAUGAAUUGACGGGGACCCGCACAAGUAGUGGAGCAUGUGGUUUAAUUCGAAGAUACGCGCAGAACCUUACCAACACUUGACAUGUUCGUCGCGACUUUAAGAGAUUAAAGUUUUCGGUUCGGCCGGACGAAACACAGGUGCUGCAUGGCUGUCGUCAGCUCGUGCCG